rnacentral:lncRNA from 1 species
GACUUUGAUUUUCCUGUAUCCAGUUCUUUGCUGACUGCGGCUUCCCCUGCCCGAUUAGAAGAAACCCACCGGAUCAUUUCCUCCGGUGCAUCACUCCAGAGUUCGAUCAAGUCUUCACCGCCCUGAAGCAGACACAAAGAAUGAACUAUGCUGUGAGUUAGUAGUCCAACACAGCUAUUUCUACAGUUUCAUUGCAAUUUUUUAAGGAGCAAAUAGUAGCAGAUUAGUUCCUUGUCGCUAUAAUAGUUAAAUGAUCAGGAAGAAGCUAAAUGAGGGACAUGCAGGUCUUUUUGACAUUGCAACAUCACUAAUCUUGAUUGCCCCAACUACCCUUAUUAUCCAUAGUCCACACUAAAAGUAGGAGCACUGAAUACAUAAGAUAAUGAUAUGUAACUGCAAGGUGCAUUUUGUAGCUUUCAGGAAACAAAAUAAUCACUUGUCAGCUUAUAGAAAAACAAUGGAAAACGUAUAGCGUACCAGUUACCAAUGAAUUCACUUUUAACUGAUGCAUGUGGAAGAAAAUCUGGUUGAAAUGGAUAUAGGAACUCCCAGCGACAGAUGGCUUGCUGAACUGGACAACUGCAGAGACCAGAGCAACACUAGUGAAGAAGUACAACUCAUCCGGC